GGAUAUGAGGCAAUCUGGCUGCAAUAUCUAUCACCUCAUUGACCACAGAGUUAUUGUGGCUGAUCUGAUGAGAUAGCUGUUCCCUUCUUCCCCCCAUCAUUCCACUUGCAUUCCUCCCAAGGCUGCACAUUUCUUCAAAGGGGCUAACCUUUUCCAAUAGAGGAGGACUCUUGGUAGGUGAAGGGUAAGCAAGUAGCAGCACUUCCCUGAUAGAACUUCCCCAAAGCUCUCAUGGUCCAAAGGACAAAGCAGUUCAUCUUUAUCAACCAGCAAAUGAACAUAUAGAAUUUGGUAUAAGCCUAGAAUAAGCUGU
ensembl:misc_RNA Gm24059 predicted gene, 24059